UCCGGGAUAACUCAGUCGGUAGAGUGGCAGACUGUUAAUCUGCAGGUCACAGGUUCGAACCCUGUUCCCGGAGCCA
rnacentral:tRNA from 1 species